CCAACACAAAAGAGGAGAAGUGAGUCACUUGAGCUUAUCAACUUGCCCAGAAUCUGGGAACCAUCCCUCUUAUCCCCAAAAUCUAAAAUAGAAAUUUGUGCUCUCACAAACUUUGUCGCCGCUGUCCGGCCACCGCCACCGCCACCGCCCUGCUGUUGCUUGAGUCUUGAGUGAAAAAAUGAAAAGGAAAGCAUCAGGAACUGGAACAUCUUCAAGUGUAAAUGAGUCCAAUGAUAUCCCUCCUCCUAGCUCUUCCCCUACGAUGCUAACUGAAGCUGAUUUGAAUGAUCUGCCAUGGGAUCCAUCUGAGAGAAAAAGAAUUUCAGAGUAUCACCCUGAUCAAAGAGACGAGAUAAGAAAACAAUAUCUAAUUAAAGGACCUUGUCAACCACGUGGACAUACAUUUCCAUGGAGAAUAAUAGGAAACAAGAAAAGACGUUUCAAUCCAGCUUGGUUUAAUCAAUUUAGUGAUUGGUUGGAGUACAGUGUGAAAGUAGAUAAAGCCUUUUGCUUGUGUUGUUACCUGUUUAAAGACCAUGUUUCAAAACAAGGUGGAUGUGAUACUUUUGUGACAGAAGGAUUUAAUAGUUGGAAUAAAACUGAGAGACUUAGUCUUCAUAUGGGUAGUGCUAACAGCUUACACAAUAAAGCACUUAAGAAAUGUGAAGAGUUUAUGAAACAAGAUGACUCUAUUGCUGUUGCCAUUCAGAACAAAAACAAUUUUGUCAAGAAUGGGUAUCAAAUUCAAUCAAGUCCUUCUAAAUCCACUACUACUCGCAACAAUACAGCUCUUCUUGUAAUCGAUAUGCAGAAUGAUUUUGUGUUGGAGGAUGCGCCAUUGCGUGUUGAUGGUGGCCUUGCUAUAGUUCCUAAUGUUGUUAAGGCAGUUGAGGUUGCUAGACAACAAGGCUUCCUUGUUGUUUGGGUUGUAAGGGAGCAUGACCCAAUGGGAAGAGAUGUUGAGGUGUUCAGAAGGCAUUUAUAUGGUGAUGGAAAAGCAAAGCCUACUUCAAAAGGGAGCAAAGGGGCAGAGCUUGUUGAUGGUCUUAUUAUCAAAGAAGGAGAUUAUAAAGUGGUAAAGACAAGGUUUAGUGCCUUCUUUGCUACAAAUCUUCAUUCAUUUCUUCAAGGAGCAGGGAUUGAUAGUUUAGUUGCUGUUGUUGAUUGUAGGUGUUCAAACUCCAAACUGUAUAAGGCAGAGUGUGUUUGAUGCUGUGGAACUUGAUUACAAAUCUGUUACUGUUAUUGUUGAUGCUACAGCUGCUGCUACACCUGAUGUACAUGCUGCAAAUGUUAAUGACAUGAAGAAUAUAGGAGUUGCAGCUCCAACACUUAAAGAAUGGUGCGAGUUCAGUAGCUCCAACACUUAAAGAAUCGUGCUAAUAUUAAAAUAUUAUUUUCAUUUCUUUUGAGCGUAUGUCAAUAUGUAUAUACACAUAAUAAUUGAAGGGUUAUAUAUUUUCAAAUGAAUAUGGUUGUAAUGGCUUUCCAUUGAUUAUCUCUAUUAAUGUGUUGUACUUUUGAUUUC